GGGUCCCGGGGGUCAGGCCGGUGUGGGCCCGGGCCGGGCCUGGAGGGAGGGAGAGUAGCCGCGGUGCCGGCCCCCUGGGUCCGCGGGCUGCCCUCAGGCCUCUCUGCGCCCAGGGACCCCUUCCUGUGAUGCCCUGGGGAACGGGUCGGGCUGGGCCUGCAGCACCCGGGGGCGGAGUGAGGUCAGGCCCAGGCGGCCGCCCGCCCGUCAAGGCGCGCCUCCCUGUGGUUGCGGUGCUCAGGCCUCAGGGCCUCGUGGUGGGCCCCCUGCUCUCCCGUCACACUCUCGCCCUGGGCGAGGGCACCCACCUCCGGGUUUGAUGCCCCCUCUAUACUGACCACACCGAAUCGUGCGUAUGUUUCUAGGCCAGCCCUCUGCCCAGUUGUGGACUCCUGUGCCCCGGCCUGGAAGCCCGACCUCAACAAGUUCUUUCUCCUUUUGAAGUGACUUUGAACCCCUAGGAGACAAGGAGCAGUCUCUGAUCUGUGCCCUGCUCACAGUAUCUGGCACAUACAUUGCUUUGGAGUUUCCAACACUCAAAGAAGCCUUUUAUGUAAAACAAACCUUCCAACUUACUGUCAGCACUGUGAUGCCAGCUUCAGUGACCGUCUUCAUCCGUCCCGGCUGUCUGUUCUCCUGCGGUAGAGGGUCAGCCCACCUGGCUGUUGGCACAGGUGCCAGACCUUCUCAUGGUGAAUGUCUGACCUCCCGGGACCUGCCGCUUGCCCACCCUCAUGAAGAAUCAGAAGCCGCAGAUGCUUGGCUGAUGGAGAAGCAGCAUUGUGU